CAACUUUUUGUCGUUUACCAGAAGGCCCAGAGAGUGGCACGUGGCUUGAAGCACCACAUCAUCCCUUUGGACUUAAGACCUGGAACUACCCUCAAUCAUCAAGGUACGGAUAGAUCGGGAUACCCCAGAGCCUGAGGUUUUCAAAGUUUGCAAGAACAGAAAAUGAAAUAACGCUAGCCGAAGCAGAUGUUCUAGUACCAUCACUGGCAGCAAGAAGGAACUGAGGGCGACGCCCCUUAUACCAUGCCAUGUGAGCGCCACUCUAGAGGGCGCCAAAGCUGGUCCCCUAAGGAUACUGCUAAGGGAAAUACUUCCAGCACUGGUGCAUAUGGUGAGCACACACACCUAAUAUGGAAUUGACAUGAGCAAGCACUCGAAGAACUAGUUUUUCUUAGCUCCAAGCAGCAAAUUUUGAAGGCUUGAGUGAGUUUUUACUGUCCUCAUGCCAGUAAACUCUCAUUGGCCAAAAUGUAAGCUAGGCUAAGAGCUACAAUGGAUGCCAGAUUCUGAAUUCCUUAAGAAGUCAUCUCUUAUCACCCAGGUUUUGAAGCAAAGCAGGUUUACUUCCUGAAUUGUUGAUCUCAACACCUCCAACAGGAUUUUCAUAUGGCACUUAGAAUAUCUGCUUCCUCUCCUUUUAAAAUAGAGGAUACAUGACUGGGUUACAUGAAACGCACACAAGGCAAUGGUUCCAUUUUCACCACUGAGAGGAAAAAACACCUGGAGAAGUUUUCCCGCCCACAGCCAGUUAUGAUAACUUGAGGAGUAAUUUUGUAGCUAUCUAGCAUGCUAUUGAACCAAACAACUGCAUUCUGUCCUUACUUAUAAAGUAAAAAGCUGUAUUCGCUAUAGUACAACCUGUCUAAAUUGCCACCCCUAUUUAAACAACCAAUUUGUCAAUCUAAUAAAAAGGCAGAACAGAAUCAUAUUUGAUCAGUUUAGAUUCACCCCUACAGACAAAGCUGUCCCUAAGAAGGGAUGGACAUAUAUGGAACAUCUUUUAGAGAUGGUGCUCUAAGCAGCAAUAUUUUUGGUAUCAGCCCUGCUCGCCACACACCACAUAAUAAAAAGCAAAUAGGGGGUCGCAGAAUUUGCUCAGGGUCCUAAGCAAUUGCUGAGUCUGUUUAUGCCUAGUGUCGGCUCUGCCCCAAAUCAGGCUUCCUAAACAAGUAUUUCUUUGGUGACCCCAGGCAAUAGACAAAGAAGGUUACCUAAAGGCACACUGCAUAGCACAAUAAGAGGUAAAGCAGCAUUAUUAGAUCAAAGUAUAGAAGACCUGGAAAAAUGAGCUAGGUUAGAGACAAUUGGUGCCAUUUAACUGCUGCCUUAUGUACAUCAUGAUGUGGAAAAGAUGAUGAAAAUACGUUUAAAUGGCCCACUCUCUUAAAAAAUAAAAAAGAGGUGUUUCACUAAGUGAGGUCUCUUGUCAAAGUUUCACUAUUUUUUUUUUUGUAACUGACUUUUUUUUCCCAAAUAUUUAUUAAGAGACAUUGUUGAAGGCUAGAAGAGUCUGAGAUUCCAUUACAUACAAUGAGUGGAGCAUGUUUAUUGAAAUGUCCAUUCUAUCUGAGAAGGAUGUCAUGGGCGAGGAG